rnacentral:rRNA from 1 species
UACGAGGGGGGCGAGCGUUGUUCGGAAUUAUUGGGCGUAAAGGGUGCGUAGGCGGUUCCGCAAGUCCUGUGUGAAAUCUUCGGGCUCAACUCGAAGUCUGCAUCGGAAACUGCCGGGCUUUGAGUGUGGGAGAGGUGAGUGGAAUUCCUGGUGUAGCGGUGAAAUGCGUAGAUAUCAGGAGGAACACCUGUGGCGAAAGCGGCUCACUGGACCAUAACUGACGCUGAUGCACGAAAAGCUAGGGGGAGCAAACAGG